rnacentral:misc_RNA from 1 species
ACCUCCGCUCCCACUUUCCCCACCACCACCAUUAUCGCCAAGACCACACGCGUCCAGACUCCAGAGGCAAGCAAAAGCGAGGCAAGAAAGCGGCAGCCUCCUCGAUCGAUCGAUCGAUCGAAUCGAGGUCUCAAAGUCUGACAGCCCCACCGACAGGCUGCGCCGCCGGCGGAGUCCACUCCGCCCGGCGCUAUGACCAUCAAGACCUUGAAGGCGCGCAUCCUGCGCGCGCUCAAGUCGUCCCUCCCGGCGGCGGCCGGGGCCGACGGCGCAGCGCCGGCGCCGCCGUCCGCCCGCCAGUACCACGGCGACGUCGACGCCCUGUCCGACGACGCGUCCUUCUUCGAUGCGCGGGAGCCGGAGACGCCCACCAAGGCGCACCGCCGGCGGCGGCCCUCCGCGGAGCCGCUGGACGCGUGGGAGCUGGUGGACCCGGACCAGGACCAGGACCAGGACCAGGACCAGGAGGACGCCCGCGCGUCACCCGACCCGCUGCUGGGGUUCCCUCGGGGCGGCGGGGGCUCCGGCUCCGGCUCCGGCUCCGGCGUGGUGCUGUACACGACGACGCUGCGCGGCGUGCGGCGCACCUUCGAGGACUGCAACGGCGUGCGCGCGCUGCUGGAGGGCCUGGGCGCGCGCUUCCAGGAGCGGGACGUGUCCAUGGACCGGGGCCUGCGGGACCAGCUGUGGGCGGCGGCCGGGGAGCGCGCCGUGCCGCCGCGCCUCUUCGUGCGCGGCCGCGACCUCGGCGGCGCCGCGCGCGUGCUCGCGCUCCACGAGGAGGGCCGCCUCGCGCCGCUGCUGCCGCUGGCGCCGGCGCCGGCGCCGGCGCCGGUGACGCGCGGCGGCGGGACGGCGAGGCUCAGGUGCGGCGCGUGCGCGGGGCUCGGGUUCGUCGUGUGCGGCGCCUGCGACGGCAGCCGCAAGGCGCUCCAGCUCCAAGGCGGGCGGUGCCAAGGGUGCAACGAGAACGGCCUCGUCAUGUGCGCGCUCUGCUCGUAGGAGGCAGCGGUCCGUUUGCUUGCCCGUCGUCCGUUACUGCGACGCGACGACGACGACGACGUCGAUCCUUCUGUACUGCCGAUCGAUGUGCUAGCUUGAGUGGUUCGGUUUGAAGGGGUUUAAGGGGGAUUGGAGGGGAUUCAAUCCCCUUCUAUAUAAAUUUGUAUAGAAGGGGAUUGAAUCCCCUCCCAUCCCCCUCAGGGCUUGUUCGUUUAGACCAAUCCAGAGGGGGAUUGGAGGGGUUUAAAUCCCUGCCUGGCCAUUUUUGACUAGACGGGGAUUUAAACCCCUCCAAUCCCCCUCUGGAUUGGUCUAAGCGAACAUGCCCUCAAUCCACCCCUAACCGAACAGGGCCUAAUGUGUGAUGUAUAUAUGCUAUGCUAGUUUAGAUGUGUCCAUGUCAAAACCCAUCCGAUAUGCUUCAGUUUAUCCAUCCAUGUAGCUGUUUAUGAACCAAUCGGAACAGGUUUGGUCAUGGAUUGGUGACUGACGCUGCUGGCACGAUGAAGCAGAUCGAGGGGGGGUCCUGUUCUCGCCAUUUUCCUGGAGCAUUUGGAAAUGUCCGUGUUCCCCACUUGUUUGAAGGAGCGUUUCAUGUGAAAUGGGAAACCACGGCUUCGGAUUCUGCUAGUCUGUGCGUAGAGAUAAGGCUCAGGAGCUGCCUCGGUCUUGCUCAGGUUCAGAGAAGCUCGCAAGUCGGCUGAGCCUAAUUUUAUGGCUCGAUCAAACAUUAAACCAGCUCACGAGUCUGCUAGAUCAUAUAGUGGCAUAUUGUGACACUAUUACAUUGUUAUUACAUUGUUAUGUUAUUGAUUUAUUUUUUUUAUUUUUUAUAGAUCUAAUGCUAAA